UUUGCUUUUCUCUUUCUCCUUGUCUUUCUUCUUCUUCUUUUCUUCUCAUCUUUACUUUGCAUCUUCCCCUUUUAGCCACUCAAGUUGAAAGGUACAUUUGAAUCAAUUGUCAGCAAAGGAAAAAAGGUGAAGAAGGAAGAACUACAUUUCAAAGCGAAGGUGAAGGAUAUGGAGCCAAACUAUGAGAAGGAAAAGAAGAUUACCAAAUCAGUGGAGAAGGAAAAGCCGAAGCAUAAGGAGGAUAAGGGACAGAAACAUAAAGAGAAGGAUAAGGAAAAAAUCGAGGAUAGUGAAAUAGGAGAAAUGAAGAAUAACGAGGAGAAAAAAAAAAGAACAAUGAGAAGAUGCACAAAGAUGAAGAAG